UACGUAGGGGGCAAGCGUUGUCCGGAGUCAUUGGGCGUAAAGAGCGUGUAGGCGGUCCGAUAAGUCCGCUCUGAAAGUCCGGGGCUCAACCCCGGGAGGCGGGCGGAUACUGUCGGGCUAGAGUCCGGAAGAGGCAAGUGGAAUUCCUGGUGUAGCGGUGAAAUGCGCAGAUAUCAGGAGGAACACCGAUGGCGAAGGCAGCUUGCUGGGACGGUACUGACGCUGAGACGCGAAAGCGUGGGGAGCAAACAGG
rnacentral:rRNA from 1 species